rnacentral:rRNA from 1 species
GACGAACGCUGGCGGCGUGCUUAACACAUGCAAGUCGAACGAUGAAGCUAGAGCUUGCUCUGGUGAAUUAGUGGCGAACGGGUGAGUAACACGUGAGUAGCCUGCCCCGAACUCUGGGAUAACUGCUGGAAACGGUAGCUAAUACUGGAUACGACCUACGAAGGCAUCUUCUGUAGGUGGAAAGAAUUUCGGUUCGGGAUGGACUCGCGGCCUAUCAGCUUGUUGGUGAGGUAAUGGCUCACCAAGGCGACGACGGGUAGCCGGCCUUAGAGGGUGACCGGCCACACUGUGACUGAGACACGGCCCAGACUCCUACGGGAGGCAUCAGUGGGGAAUAUUGCACAAUGGGCGCAAGCCUGAUGCAGCAACGCCGCGUGAGGGAUGACGGCGUUCGGGUUGUAAACCUCUUUUAGUAGGGAAAAAGCGAAAGUGACGGUACCUUCAGAAAAAGCACCGGCUAACUACGUGCCAGCCGCCGCCGUAA